AAAAAGGCAAACUAUAGAUUUUCGUGUCCAACUUUAACUAUCCGUCUUAUAUGAAAUUUUUUUAUAAUUCGUAUUUUUAUUGGUGUUAGAUGAUAAAACAUGAUUAAUAUUUUAUGCGUGACUUGUCUUUUUAAUUUUUUUCAUAAUUUUUUCAAAUAAGACGGACGGUCAAAUGUUGGCCACGAAAAUCAGGGUUUGUCUUUUU
rfam:Oryza glumipatula chromosome 10, whole genome shotgun sequence.